CUUGAACUGUAGUUCCCAUAAUUCCUACAAGUUGUGGGAGGGGCCCGGUGGGAAGUGAUUGAAUCAUGGGGUUAGUUACCUCCAUGCUCUGUUCUCAUGAUAGUGAGUAAGUUCUCAUGAGACCUGAUGGUUUUAUAAGGGGCAUUUCCCCCACUUCGCUCUGCACUUCUCCUUGCAGCCACCAUGUGAAGAAGGAGGUGUUUGCUUGCCCUUGUGCCAUGAUUGUAAGUUUUCUGAGGCCUACCCAGCCCUGCAAAACUGAAAGAAGAUUAUGAAUGUGCCAUGCACUCCAGCCUUGGAGACAGGGAAAGACUGUCUCUGAAAAAAAAGAAAGAAUGGAAUGGAACAGAACAGAACGGAAAGGAAAGGAAAAAGAAAAGGAAAGAAAAGAAAAGAAAAAAGGGAAACAUAUUUCUGCUAAAUUCUAUUGUCGGAAGAAUGUAAUUUAGCAGUGCUACAAAAUGUGGAAUACUUUUACAUAAAAAUAAAAACUACUUCAGCUGUAUCAAAG
rnacentral:lncRNA from 1 species